UAGCUCAGACGGUAAAGCAUCUGCCUACAAUGCUGAAGACCCAGGUUUGAUCCCUGG
rnacentral:tRNA from 1 species